rnacentral:rRNA from 1 species
AUAACGACAAACCGGCGUAAAAUAUGGCUAGAGAUUCAUAAUAUUUUAAAUAUCAAAAUUCAUUUAGCCUAGUUGUAAAACACUCAGACAAUGGAGAAAAUCAACACAGAUAUUCUUAAUAUUAUAUUCUUGACCACACGAAAGCUUAGAAACAAACUAGGAUUAGAUACCCUACUAUGCUAAGCCCUGAACAUUGAAAGCUAUCUAUACUAUACUUUCCGCCAGAGAACUACGAGUGAAAAACUUAAAACUCAAAG